UGGGGAAUAUUGCACAAUGGGGGAAACCCUGAUGCAGCGACGCCGCGUGAACGAAGAAGGUAUUCGUAUCUUAAAGUUCUGUCCUAUGGGAAGAUAAUGACAGUACCAUAGAAGAAAGCUCCGGCUAAAUACGUGCCAGCAGCCGCGGUAAUACGUAUGGAGCGAGCGUUGUCCGGAAUUAUUGGGCGUAAAGGGUACGCAGGCGGUUUAAUAAGUCGAAUGUUAAAGAUCGGGGCUCAACCCCGCAAAGCAUUGGAAACUGAUAAACUUGAGUAGUGGAGAGGAAAGUGGAUUUCCUAGUGUAGUGGUGAAAUACGUAGAUAUUAGGAGGAAUACCAGUAGCGAAGGCGACUUUCUGGACACAAACUGACGCUGAGGUACGAAAGCGUGGGGAGCAAACAGG
rnacentral:rRNA from 1 species